rnacentral:rRNA from 1 species
AUCCUGUCACCAGGUAGCUGCCUUCUGUACCCCCCAUUGUAACACGUGUGUAGCCCCGGACGUAAGGGCCGUGCUGAUUUGACGUCAUCCCCACCUUCCUCACAUCUUACGACGGCAGUCUCUCCAGAGUCCUCAGCAUGACCUGUUAGUAACUGAAGAUAAGGGUUGCGCUCGUUAUGGCACUUAAGCCGACACCUCACGGCACGAGCUGACGACAACCAUGCAGCACCUUCACAAAUGCCUUGCGGCUAACCUGUUUCCAGAUUAUUCAUUUGCAAUUUAAGCCCGGGUAAGGUUCCUCGCGUAUCAUCGAAUUAAACCACAUGUUCCUCCGCUUGUGCGGGCCCCCGUCAAUUCCUUUGAGUUUCACCGUUGCCGGCGUACUCCCCAGGUGGAAUACUUAAUGCUUUCGCUUGGCCGCUUACUGUAUAUCGCAAACAGCGAGUAUUCAUCGUUUACUGUGUGGACUACCAGGGUAUCUAAUCCUGUUUGAUACCCACACUUUCGAGCAUCAGUGUCAGUUGCAGUCCAGUGAGCUGCCUUCGCAAUCGGAGUUCUUCGUGAUAUCUAAGCAUUUCACCGCUACACCACGAAUUCCGCCCACCUCUACUGUACUCAAGACAGCCAGUAUCAACUGCAAUUUUACGGUUGAGCCGCAAACUUUCACAACUGACUUAACUGUCCACCUACGCUCCCUUUAAACCCAAUAAAUCCGGAUAACGCUCGGAUCCUCCGUAUUACCGCGGCUGCUGGCACGGAGUUAGCCGAUCCUUAUUCAUAUGGUACAUACAAAAAUCCACACGUGGACCACUUUAUUCCCAUAUAAAAGAAGUUUACAACCCAUAGGGCAGUCAUCCUUCACGCUACUUGGCUGGUUCAGACUCCCGUCCAUUGACCAAUAUUCCUCACUGCUGCCUCCCGUAGGAGUUUGGACCGUGUCUCAGUUCCAAUGUGGGGGACCUUCCUCUCAGAACCCCUAUCCAUCGAAGGUUUGGUGAGCCGUUACCUCACCAACUGCCUAAUGGAACGCAUCCCCAUCGAUAACCGAAAUUCUUUAAUAAUUAAACCAUGCGGUUUUAUUAUACUAUCGGGUAUUAAUCUUUCUUUCGAAAGGCUAUCCCCG